rnacentral:tRNA from 2 species
GUUUAUGUAGCUUAAUUAAAGUGUGACACUGAAAAUGUUAAGAUGGAUUUUUAGUAAAUCUCAAAAACA